UUAGCCUCUUCAAUUAGCCUCCUUAGUGGUAAAGGUCAGGAUAGUUAUCAGGUCUUAGUAAUCACCAGGGAAUCAGGUGGAAAACCUAUAAGAAUCAGUCUUCCUAUCUCAGGCUUAAUAUCUGUGAUGACUUUAAUGUCUUCCACUACACCUGCAACUGUGUUUUAUGUUGUUUCCUUAUCCUGUAUGUGCAGUGAACACCUCCCAGGGCUUCACUGGGUGCAAUUGUCACUAAAGCUAAAUACUGUUGUCCCUGGAUUACCUCUGUGCUUUGAGCUGUCAUUGAAGGUACUUGCUGGGCCAGGAGUGAAGAAGCUGACAUUGGAGUACAGAAUUCCAGGCAGUCACCCUGGACAGCUGCUCACUGAAGUCCAUACGGAAGGUGUUCAUGCAACCAAAUAUCAAUAUCUGGAGUAAAUGUGGAAAAUUUGUUUCUCAUGUAGUGAACUGUCCAGCCAAGCACUGAUGUUUCUGUCAUUCUAAAAAGUGAAGCUUCCCCUGGCUCUGUGUGCAUAUGGUCUAGGAAGUUCAGUGCUGUUUGUUUGCUGCAUCAGUAUACUUUCCUGCUAUUGUUGAUCCCCAAAAUGUCAUUUUUAUGAAUGUACAAUGAGUCGCUAGAGCAAAGGGACAAGGGAGGGCUAUAAACAGCAGUAAAAUUUAAGACUUCAGAAAAUGUUAAUAGAACAAAAAUUCACAAAGGUAACAAAAAGAAUAGUUGUCUCAUCUGAAUAACUGAAGAGUCAAAGACAACCUGCUCUUUCAGAACUGGAUGAUGAAUGAGAAAGGAAAGUCCUCUGCAGUGACAAAUGAUAGUAAAGUUGUUUUCCAUCUUUCUCUGUGCUGCUUACAGCAUUCAACAAGGAGGCAGGGAAAGAGCUGCUGUGAGGGCAGAAGGGGAUGACCCCAUCUCCUAGGAAUUACAAGAAUAAAAACUUGCAAUAUGACAAUUGCUGUUAUAUCAAAACAAGUUUUAUUUAGAUUAGUUUUUAUUUACAGUACAUUUAUGCUGUGGGUACAGAUUGGAUAUUUGGUACAUGCUUCUAUACCUUCUUUCUUACUAAGCCAUAGCCUUUCCUUACCAAUAAGCUCAUAUUAAUUACAUGCAUACUGGGGGGAUGUAUGCAUAAAUAUGUGUAUAUACUUACAUCAGUAUGUAUGUGAAUUCAAGUAUCUGAUAAAAAUACCAUUACAUCAGUGUUCUGUUUCCU